rnacentral:rRNA from 1 species
AAAUUGAAGAGUUUGAUCAUGGCUCAGAUUGAACGCUGGCGGCAGGCCUAACACAUGCAAGUCGAACGGUAACAGGAAGCAGCUUGCUGCUUCGCUGACGAGUGGCGGACGGGUGAGUAAUGUCUGGGAAACUGCCUGAUGGAGGGGGAUAACUACUGGAAACGGUAGCUAAUACCGCAUAAUGUCGCAAGACCAAAGAGGGGGACCUUCGGGCCUCUUGCCAUCGGAUGUGCCCAGAUGGGAUUAGCUUGUUGGUGGGGUAACGGCUCACCAAGGCGACGAUCCCUAGCUGGUCUGAGAGGAUGACCAGCCACACUGGAACUGAGACACGGUCCAGACUCCUACGGGAGGCAGCAGUGGGGAAUAUUGCACAAUGGGCGCAAGCCUGAUGCAGCCAUGCCGCGUGUAUGAAGAAGGCCUUCGGGUUGUAAAGUACUUUCAGCGGGGAGGAAGGGAGUAAAGUUAAUACCUUUGCUCAUUGACGUUACCCGCAGAAGAAGCACCGGCUAACUCCGUGCCAGCAGCCGCGGUAAUACGGAGUGUGCAAGCGUUAAUCGGAAUUACUGGGCGUAAAGCGCACGCAGGCGGUUUGUUAAGUCAGAUGUGAAAUCCCCGGGCUCAACCUGGGAACUGCAUCUGAUACUGGCAAGCUUGAGUCUCGUAGAGGGGGGUAGAAUUCCAGGUGUAGCGGUGAAAUGCGUAGAGAUCUGGAGGAAUACCGGUGGCGAAGGCGGCCCCCUGGACGAAGACUGACGCUCAGGUGCGAAAGCGUGGGGAGCAAACAGGAUUAGAUACCCUGGUAGUCCACGCCGUAAACGAUGUCGACUUGGAGGUUGUGCCCUUGAGGCGUGGCUUCCGGAGCUAACGCGUUAAGUCGACCGCCUGGGGAGUACG